UACCCCAUCAGAUCGACCCUAUUGAUCUUAUUAACCGUAAGCCAGUUUUGUCUGA
rnacentral:snoRNA from 1 species